GGGGGUGGAUCCGGCCCGGUGGCCGGCACGGACUUCAAAUCCGGAUGUGAGGCGGUUAGCGCCGUCUCUGGUGUGUUCGAUUCGCACACAUCCCCGCCA
rnacentral:tRNA from 1 species